rnacentral:rRNA from 1 species
GAUUAACGCUAGCGGCAGGCCUAAUACAUGCAAGUCGAACGGCAGCACGGGUAGCAAUACCUGGUGGCGAGUGGCGCACGGGUGCGUAACACGUAUGCAAUCUACCUUUAACUGGGGAAUAACCCCUCGAAAGAGGGGCUAAUACCGCAUAACACUUCGAUGGGACAUCCCAAUGAAGUCAAACCUACGGGGGUUAAAGAUGAACAUGCGUCCGAUUAGCUAGUUGGCGAGGUAACGGCUCACCAAGGCAACGAUCGGUAGGGGAUCUGAGAGGAUGACUCCCCCANACUGGUACUGAGACACGGACCAGACUCCUACGGGAGCAGCAGUAAGGAAUAUUGGACAAUGGGCGCAAGCCUGAUCCAGCCAUGCCGCGUGCAGGAUGAAAGUGCUAUGCACU